rnacentral:rRNA from 1 species
UACGUAGGUGGCGAGCGUUGUCCGGAAUUAUUGGGCGUAAAGGGCGCGCAGGCGGUUUCUUAAGUCUGAUGUGAAAUCUCGUGGCUUAACCACGAGCGGUCGUUGGAAACUGGGAAACUUGAGUACAGAAGAGGAGAGUGGAAUUCCACGUGUAGCGGUGAAAUGCGUAGAGAUGUGGAGGAACACCAGUGGCGAAGGCGGCUCUCUGGUCUGUAACUGACGCUGAGGUGCGAAAGCGUGGGGAGCAAACAGG